AUAUUUAAAUGUUAAGUUAAAACUAUAUUUUUAAAAAUUAAACAUAUAUUAAUUAUUAUAUUGUUUUAAAAAUAUAGAAUGAUAAAAGUAAAGAGUGUAAUUUUUUUUAACAUAUUUAGAGAGUUACAAUUUCAAUGACUUUUGAUGUGUGAAACUAAUUUCACUCUACAAAUCAUGCUCUUGGCAUGGCAAAAUCAUACAAUAUCAUCAUUUUGUUGUGA
rnacentral:lncRNA from 1 species